rnacentral:rRNA from 1 species
UAGAGUUUGAUCCUGGCUCAGGACGAACGCUGGCGGCGUGCUUAACACAUGCAAGUCGAACGGAAAGGCCCUUCGGGGUACUCGAGUGGCGAACGGGUGAGUAACACGUGGGUGAUCUGCCCUGCACUUUGGGAUAAGCCUGGGAAACUGGGUCUAAUACCGAAUAGGAUCACAAUCUUCAUGGGUUGUGGUGGAAAGCUUUUGCGGUGUGGGAUGGGCCCGCGGCCUAUCAGCUUGUUGGUGGGGUAAUGGCCUACCAAGGCGACGACGGGUAGCCGGCCUGAGAGGGUGACCGGCCACACUGGGACUGAGAUACGGCCCAGACUCCUACGGGAGGCAGCAGUGGGGAAUAUUGCACAAUGGGCGCAAGCCUGAUGCAGCGACGCCGCGUGAGGGAUGACGGCCUUCGGGUUGUAAACCUCUUUCAAUAGGGACGAAGCGCAAGUGACGGUACCUAUAGAAGAAGCACCGGCCAACUACGUGCCAGCAGCCGCGGUAAUACGUAGGGUGCGAGCGUUGUCCGGAAUUACUGGGCGUAAAGAGCUCGUAGGUGGUUUGUCGCGUUGUUCGUGAAAACUCACAGCUUAACUGUGGGCGUGCGGGCGAUAC